rnacentral:lncRNA from 1 species
UAUUUGAUGUUUGCUAUGAUAACAGAGACAAGAAUAUAUAUAUAUAUAUAAAGAGAGAGAGUUUGACUGGGCUACUAUCGGUAGUAAACCGCUCGGUUUAUUACCGAUUUGUUUUUUAUGAUAGAGCUUCCAAAUCGACGAUCGGUACCGUUGAAUAUGAUCUAAACCAUUUAAAUUAUCUAGAAAUCAAAUUUCAUGAUUUUUUGACAUCACUAAUUGAACGAUCAAAUAGUCACAAAAUCUAUAAUUUUAAGGGCCGAUAUGGUGCGUUUGCUCGUUUAACGGUAUAGAAGAAUUCAAAUCAACUAAAUUUUUGUUAGAAAAUUCUUUAAACUAUUUAAAAUAAGAUCUAGACUCUAGAUCUCAAAUAUAAAAAUUGUAUCAUCACUUUUUGAAGAAUAUUCAUUUCCAGCCAUUCAUUUUUUUGUUCACUUGAUGGACAAGAGAACAAUAUCGAAAGUGUGUGAAAUUUGAUUUCCAGAUAGUUUAAAUAGUUUAGAUUAUGUUUAACGGUGCCGAUCAUCAAUUUGAAAGCUCUAUCAUCGAAAACAAAUCGGUAGUAAACUGAGCCGUUUACUACGGAUAGUAUUCUAGCAAAACUCUCUCUCUGAGAGAGAGAGAGAGAGAGAGAGAGAGAGAGAGAGAGAGAGAGAGAGAGAGAACUAGAGCAUUG